rnacentral:lncRNA from 1 species
GGGUGCCCAGGGCUCCCAGGGCUCUUCCCAGACACCCUGACCAUUUGUAUUCACAUACCGAAUCAGAGCGUUCAGAGAGCAAUCAACCGCACACAGAUCCUCCACAUUUGCAGAACAGGAUGAACUCAUUAGAAAAGUCAGACUGGAACCAUCUGGCUUACAUUCAGACUGACGGAGCCACGGACUACAUUAAAG